rnacentral:rRNA from 1 species
GGGGGGGGCGACUAGACUGACAAGUCGAGCGGACAGAAGGGAGCUUGCUCCCGGAUGUUAGCGGCGGACGGGUGAGUAACACGUGGGUAACCUGCCUGUAAGACUGGGAUAACUCCGGGAAACCGGAGCUAAUACCGGAUAGUUCCUUGAACCGCAUGGUUCAAGGAUGAAAGACGGUUUCGGCUGUCACUUACAGAUGGACCCGCGGCGCAUUAGCUAGUUGGUGAGGUAACGGCUCACCAAGGCGACGAUGCGUAGCCGACCUGAGAGGGUGAUCGGCCACACUGGGACUGAGACACGGCCCAGACUCCUACGGGAGGCAGCAGUAGGGAAUCUUCCGCAAUGGACGAAAGUCUGACGGAGCAACGCCGCGUGAGUGAUGAAGGUUUUCGGAUCGUAAAGCUCUGUUGUUAGGGAAGAACAAGUGCAAGAGUAACUGCUUGCACCUUGACGGUACCUAACCAGAAAGCCACGGCUAACUACGUGCCAGCAGCCGCGGUAAUACGUAGGUGGCAAGCGUUGUCCGGAAUUAUUGGGCGUAAAGGGCUCGCAGGCGGUUUCUUAAGUCUGAUGUGAAAGCCCCCGGCUCAACCGGGGAGGGUCAUUGGAAACUGGGAAACUUGAGUGCAGAAGAGGAGAGUGGAAUUCCACGUGUAGCGGUGAAAUGCGUAGAGAUGUGGAGGAACACCAGUGGCGAAGGCGACUCUCUGGUCUGUAACUGACGCUGAGGAGCGAAAGCGUGGGGAGCGAACAGGAUUAGAUACCCUGGUAGUCCACGCCGUAAACGAUGAGUGCUAAGUGGUUAGGGGGUUUCCGCCCCUUAGUGCUGCAGCUAACGCAUUAAGCACUCCGCCUGGGGAGUACGGUCGCAAGACUGAAACUCAAAGGAAUUGACGGGGGCCCGCACAAGCGGUGGAGCAUGUGGUUAAUUCGAAGCACGCGAAGAACCUUACCAGGUCUUGACUCCUCUGACACCCUAGAGAUAGGGCUUUCCUUCGGG